rnacentral:rRNA from 1 species
UACGUAGGUUGCAAGCGUUACCCGGUUUUAUUGGGCGUAAAGCGUCUGCAGGCCGUUUUUUAAGUCUUGUUUCAAAGACCCCGACCUAAUCGGGGGAAGGGGCAGGAUACUGAAAGACUAGAGUGAUAUCGGAGUUACUGGAAUUUGUAGUGUAGGGGUAAAAUCCGUGGAUACUACAAAGAACACCAAGCGCGAAGGCGGGUAACUAGGUAUUUACUGACGCUCAGAGACGAAAGCUAGGGUAG